rnacentral:lncRNA from 1 species
CAGCUAGAGGCUGCGCUUACUGGCAUGGAUCUUGUUGUAAUCCCUGCGGGCGUUCCUCGGAAACCAGGAAUGACAAGGGAUGAUCUAUUCAAAAUAAACGCAGGAAUUGUCAAGACUCUUUGCGAAGGGAUUGCAAAGUGUUGUCCUACAGCCAUUGUCAACCUGAUCAGUAAUCCUGUGAACUCCACCGUGCCCAUUGCAGCUGAAGUUUUCAAGAAAGCUGGAACUUAUGAUCCAAAGCGACUUCUAGGAGUU